GACGAACGCUGGCGGCGUGCUUAACACAUGCAAGUCGAGCGGAGCGGCGAACGGGUGAGUAACGCGUGAGUAACUGACCCCCUCUCUGGGAUAACAGUUGGAAACGGCUGCUAAUACCGGCUAGUGGGGGAUGACUCGCGUCCUAUCAGCUUGUUGGUGGGGUAGUGGCUUACCGAGGGGACGACGGGUAGCCGGCCUGAGAGGGCGAACAGCCACAUUGGGCUGAGAUACGGCCCAGUCGCCUACGGGAGGCAGUGGUGGGGAAUAUUGCACAAUGGGGGAAACCCUGAUGCAGCAGUCCGCGUGCGUGAUGACGGCCUUCGGGGUGUAAACCGCUUUCAGCCAUGACGCGGUAGUGGCAGAAGAAGCACCGGCUAACUACGUGCCAGCAGCCGCGGUAAUUC
rnacentral:rRNA from 1 species